UUUUUAGAAUAAACUUUAAUUUGCGUCCUUAAUGGUAUAAGGUAUGUAAUUUCAAAUUUUGCUGGCUAAGAAUUCCGACUAAAAACAAAAUAUUCAUUUGGAUUCUCUUUCGCAAGAGAGUACUUACCAACGACAGGUUGAUCCGUUGAGGAUAUGCGGUGGAUCAGUUUUGCGUGUUUUGUGCAAUAUGCCCAGAAACCACCGAUCACCUCUUUCGGGACUGUGUCUUUGUCAGAUAUCUUCUAUUCAGCGUCGGAAAUUCAGAUGCAAGCAAAUUGAAAUCGGAGGAUGUAGGCCGGCUAUGGACGGAAACAGCUAACAUUCACAAUGGUGAGUUGAGGACAAAAAGUCUGACCUAUCUAGCGGCAAUCUGGUGGGUGACAUGGACGGAACGUAACAACACUAUCUUCCGCGAUGUGCGGCCCAACGUUGCCCGGGUCUUCGAACGUGUCAUGUUCUUGAUCAAAGAUUGGACCGACGCCCUUUGAUUUAGACCGCGUCUUUCGUUUUGUUUUUGUGAUUUGGACCGACGUUUGUUGUUUUUAGUGCUUUGUUUACUGUUUUGUUUUUAUUUUUAUCUUCUUUUUGUUUUUCUUCCGGUUCCUCCAGGAGGCCUUAGUUGCCUCCAAUAUGUACGCCUAGUUUAUUUUGCUUAAUGAAUGAAGUAGGUAGCUUUGCUACUUUUUUCUCAAAAAAAAAAAAAAAAAUUUGAUGGUUGGACGAGCUA
rnacentral:lncRNA from 1 species